GGGAAAGAGGUGGCAUCGGCGGUUCAAGACUGAGUUUUCUAUCUCUUCAGUGCCUCUUUCAACAAUGAAGAUCAAACCAGGUACUGAGGUAGUGGGAGUGCUCAUCUAGUUUUUGGCUUUUAGUUUUGUGCAAAUAUCUGCUGAGUGAACUACUUAUUUGAAAAUACAUCAUUGGUUAAUAUUCCCUUUUGCUCAUUGAAAUCUCAAAGACUACAGACCCCGCACAAGACAUUCUGACAUUCCCGUCUUUGAAAUGAAUGACAGCAAUGAUAAAUAUGGCUCACCUCCAGAGAUACAGAUCUCACAACUUCAUAUUUUUAAUAUAAAUUAUUAAUCUGAGGUGUGGUGCAAUUCCAUUAGAUGAAAGAGAUCUACACAUUCAGAAGCACAUGAUUCUUCCCCCUUCCAUGAUUCCAGUGGCCAAUAGACAAACUACAAUAAAGCCAUGCCCUGACUGGAUGUGCCUAACAUUUGUCUGGUGCUUAAAGGAGUUGGCUGCAUGCGUGGAAAUGUUGGAAAGUCACCAAAAAUAGUUCUCCAAGUCAGAAGCGGUGCAAAAGCUGCCUCAGCUCUUGGUGGAUUUUCAAUUUCUCCCAGCCAUCUCUGUUUUGCUAAAGGUUUCUGAAGACAGUGGAUAAUGAAGAUAUUAUACCAUUAUAUGCUCUUGAAUCUGUCUCAUUGUGACUUGGCGAAGAGGCAGUGAAUCUGCCAAAAAGAAGUAGAGCAGCUGUGAAGAUGCCAACACAAUUGAGUACUCUUUCUCUACAUAUUUCUAAAUAUGGCAAUUUAUUGGACACUUAUGAGCAUGGAAUGACAAUGGGGUCAAUUUAACCAUACGGCAAUGCUGAGACACCUUCAUUAUGACCUUUCCCUGGUAUAAGUUAUGUGAUAAUGAAUGCAUGUUUAGUCACACACUGUAGGUACAGAUGGGAAAAAAGAAAGCAUAAAAUAUAAAACAUGAUGUCCAGGUUUCAAAUAAGAAUUCUAAAAUGUUAUUUAAUUAAUGAAAUGAAAAUACUUUACUUUAGAAAAAGAAUAUUGAAUCUCUUUGAUGUAUAAAAUGUAUAUUUCAAAUUAAAAAUUCAAAAGAAACAAA
rnacentral:sRNA from 1 species